rnacentral:rRNA from 1 species
GACGAACGCUGGCGGCGUGCCUAAUACAUGCAAGUCGAGCGAAGUUUUUCUGGUGCUUGCACCGGAAAAACUUAGCGGCGCACGGGUGAGUAACACGUAAAGAACCUGCCUUAUAGACUGGGACAACUAUUGGAAACGAUAGCUAAUACCGGAUAACAGCAUUAACUGCAUGGUUGAUGUUUGAAAGUUGGUUUUGCUAACACUAUGAGAUGGCUUUGCGGUGCAUUAGCUAGUUGGUGGGGUAAAGGCCUACCAAGGCGACGAUGCAUAGCCGACCUGAGAGGGUGAUCGGCCACACUGGGACUGAGACACGGCCCAGACUCCUACGGGAGGCAGCAGUAGGGAAUCUUCCGCAAAGGGCGAAAGCCUGACGGAGCAACGCCGCGUGAGUGAAGAAGGAUUUCGGUUCGUAAAGCCCUGUUGUUAGGGAAGAAUGAUUGUGUAGUAACUAUACACAGUAGAGACGGUACCUAACCAGAAAGCCACGGCUAACUACGUG